GACGUAGGGCGCAAGCGUUGUCCGGAAUCAUUGGGCGUAAAGAGCGUGUAGGCGGCCAGAUAAGUCCGCUGUGAAAUCUCGAGGCUCAACUUCGAGCUGUCGGUGGAAACUGUCUGGCUAGAGUCCGGAAGAGGAGAAUGGAAUUCCUGGUGUAGCGGUGAAAUGCGCAGAUAUCAGGAGGAACACCGGUGGCGAAGGCGGUUCUCUGGGCCUUACCUGACGCUGAGGAGCGAAAGCGUGGGGAGCAAACAGG
rnacentral:rRNA from 1 species